rnacentral:rRNA from 1 species
AACGAACGCUGGCGGCAUGCCUAACACAUGCAAGUCGAACGAGACCUUCGGGUCUAUUGGCGCACGGGUGCGUAACGCGUGGGAACCUGCCCUUAGGUUCGGAAUAACUCCCCGAAAGGGGUGCUAAUACCGGAUAAUGUCUUCGGACCAAAGAUUUAUCGCCUUUGGAUGGGCCCGCGUUGGAUUAGCUGGUUGGUAGGGUAAAAGCCUACCAAGGCGACGAUCCAUAGCUGGUCUGAGAGGAUGAUAAGCCACACUGGGACUGAGACACGGCCCAGACUCCUACGGGAGGCAGCAGUGGGGAAUAUUGGAGAAUGGGCGAAAGCCUGAUCCAGCAAUGCCGCGUGAGUGAUGAAGGCCUUAGGGUUGUAAAGCUCUUUUACCCGGGAUGAUAAUGACAGUACCGGGAGAAUAAGCUCCGGCUAACUCCGUG